AAGAGAGCAACCAGGGUUCUCUCCGUAUCGCACUCCUAACAUAUCAUGAACACACUUAUUGUCCAGUCCAUUCGAUGGCAAAAGCCCACAACCUUUUAUGUAUGGGUUGAGCCCAGUUAUAGGUAGAUAAUCCAAAGCGGAUGGUGAUGCUUGAAUGUAGGCCCAACACUUUUGUCAUGGUUCUCAAAGCUUUAACCCUAACCCUAAAUGAGCAAGGCAGCAUCCUCGUUUUUCUCUAUAUAAACAAAUUGCGCUGCGAUUUCUUUGAAUAUAUAUCUCAUGCCCCAAUUCAUGCUCAAACCCUAAAUCAAGUCCAUAGAAGACAUCUAUUCUCGUUUGUAAAUGUUUAAAUGUUAGAUUUGUGAAUGAUUAGUAGUAUUAGAUUUUGGGGAUGAUGAUCAAAGGAAUUAUACAGUUAUCCCUGUCUGAUUUAUUCAGUGCUGAAAGUUUUCCUUUCAUGUCUGACCCAUCUCCAUUGUUCCUAUUUUCCCUUUUUGGGCCAAAGUGCGGCAAGUGUUUUUUUUUUACAGUGCUGAAAUGUUUUUUUGAAGCUAAGUUAUUACAUUUUGUAAAGUAACUUUUCGAAUAUAUUGCCUAUGAUGACAUCUAUAUAGCAACGAAGAUGCUAGUCUUAUGACUUAGCUUCAAUGUUGAUAAAUUCCAUUGACUAGGACGGUCUGAGGCUUACUACACAUUGCAUCUUAUUAUUAUUUUUUUUGUUUUUGAAGAUUUUGUUUUUUUUUGGGUCAUAAUCCAUGCUUGUUGAUAGAGGCAGAUGAUGUGUUUAUCGGAGAUGAAUACUCAUAAUUUGAGCAUAAUGAUCCUCAUCUGAAUAGAUAGGAAGAUCUGAUGCUUCUUCUCUAAUACUAUCUUGUACAUCUAACAUGUUUUUCAACAUUUAAAUUUCUCUUGGCCUUUUGCCUUGAUCCCUUAGCUUUCUUCAUUUGUAAUGGAUGAUGAGAUAAGCAAUUCACAGUUAUCCCUGUCUGAUACAUUUUGAUGAAUGCUUGUGAUCUGACAUUACAUUAUGACAAUCCUUUUCUGGUUUA